CUCACCACCCCCUGAGAAAAUAAUUUUUCCUAAUAUCUAACCUAAAUUUCCCUGAGCCAUUCCUCCUUGUCCUAUCCCUGUUAUACCAGGUAAAAAGUCUCCCUCCUUCCUGUUCAUAACCUCCCUUUCAGGUACUGGAAGGCCAUGAUGAGGUGUCCCUGGAGCCUUCUCUUCUACAAAUUAAAGAAGCCCAGCUCCCUGAACCUUCUCAUCAGAGAGCUAGUCCCUCCCUCUGAUCAUCUAAUGGCCCUCCUCUGGACCCACUCCAACAAUUCCACAUCUUUACCGUGUUGGGAACUCAAGGCCUGGAUGCAGCACUUCAGAUGGGGCUUCAUGAGGGCAGAGCAAAGAGGGACAAUCCCCUCCUUUGCCCUGCUGGCCACUCCUCUUUUGAUGCAGCCCAAGAUGCAGUUGCCCUUCUGGGCUGCAAGCACCUUGCACUUGGCCUAUUAAACAUCACUAGGUUCUUGUAAGCCCAACUGGUCCCAAGAUGAGCACCUGGGUGACAACACUCAUCACCAGCCUCCACAGAGGACACAGAGCUAUUGGCCACAACCCUCUGGCUUCAACCAUCCAACUAAUUCUUUAUCCACUGAGUAGUCCACCUUUCAAAUCUGUAUCUCUGCAAGUUAGAGAUGUGGAUGUGGUGAGGGACCAUGCACAAGUCCAAGUAGAUGACAUCAGUUACCCUUCCUUGGUUCACUGAUGCCAUCACUACAUCACGGAAGGCCACCAGAUUGGUCAGGCACCAUCUGCCCUUGAGGAAGCUGUGCUGGCUGUCUCAGAUUGUCACCUCUUCAUCUUGCAUGUGACACAAGUGCUAUGGUGUUCAUUUGAAGGUUAUCAAAGAAGCUUAGAGAUAUGUUGUACUGGAAACAGGUAAAGGUGAGGGAUUUAUUUAAUGUCAGAUUGCAGCUCAAGAUCUCCCUAGGACCUGUCUGCUCCAUGUAAAGUAUUUUAGUUGUUUGGCCUGAAUUCAUUGAAUUCCUUGACUGUCCUGUGGGCACUCUAAUCACCAUAGUUGGGAGGUCUAGAUUAGGGUGCAGGAACAAAGUCACCAAUGUGCAGCUAUGGAUUGUUUUUCAGCUGCCUCAUAGAUCUUAUCUGUCAGGCUUUUUAGCAGAAAUCUGCUAAAAGGUUUCUGCGUGUGUAUCAUUUGAGUGGUUCUCUAACCAGUUUUUCUCUUGCUGAGCAGGAGUGACAGAAGGACUGACUGCCAAAAGCUGGGCACACAGAAGUGAUGGCUGUAGUCAGACCCCCCUAUGGAAGCAGGCCUCUGCAGCCUUAACUAGCUGACUGGGAACAUAAGCUUGGUUGAUAUAUGACAGUUUUGAUGGGGAAACACAAGCAAUGGAUGUGGUGACUAGAGAUGACUGGCAAAAGCAUCUUCUUUCUGUGGAAAAUGUUGGGAGUUAUGGCAAUUCACAAUUCCUGCUCAUGCAUGGGGUGCUGAAUGCUGGCAGGGCAGAGUGUAAUUCCUGACAUUGCUGGGAGGCUGGAAGAGAAGAAAAAGCCAAGGAAAGCCUGGCAGUGAAGUCAGUGCUGAUUGUGCAACCCAGCCCAUUGACAUCAUGUAACAUAAUGGUAUAUAAUGUGCGUAUCCGCAGUUCAGUGAAAGGUUCCUAAGAUAAUGAAAGCUCCCAAGAGCUACUGGUAGGCAUGGAAUGUGCUCACAGUGUUAUGUUUGCUUGUAUUUGCUGUUUAAAGUGCAUACAGAGAGACACAGCUCUCUUGGAUGGAGGACAAGAGAGGUUCCUGUUCUGCAGAGCAAACCCUAUGACUUCCUUGAAGAAGUCCUAGAUGUCCUGCCCGCCUCUGAGCUGCAGGCUCUUGGAUUUUGUUUUGGGAGCAGGCCCUUCCACCAACACAGGAGCCAGCAUGGAGACUCCAGCAAGCCAG
rnacentral:lncRNA from 1 species